rfam:Brachyspira sp. CAG:484 genomic scaffold, scf138
GUGCCUGUAGCUCAGCUGAAUAGAGUGUCGCUCUCCGAAGGCGAAGGUCGCGGGUUUGACUCCCGCCAGGCACA